rnacentral:rRNA from 1 species
AUACGGAGGAUGCAAGCGUUAUCCGGAUUUAUUGGGUUUAAAGGGUGCGUAGGCGGUUUGCUAAGCGGGAGGUGAAAUGCCGGCGCUCAACGUCGGAAGUGCCUCCCGAACUGGUGGACUUGAAUGACUCUGCCGUGGGCGGAAUGUGUAGUGUAGCGGUGAAAUGCUUAGAGAUUACACAGAACACCGAUUGCGAAGGCAUCUCACGAAGGGUUGAUUGACGCUGAGGCACGAAAGCGUGGGGAUCAAACAGGAUUAGAUACCCUGGUAGUCCACGCAGUAAACGAUGAUGGCUAACCGCUGGGCUUAUCAGUUCAGUGGCCAAGCGAAAGCGAUAAGCCAUCCACCUGGGGAGUACGACCGCAAGGUUGAAACUCAAAUGAAUUGACGGGG